UAAUACUGGCUUGGCCACCCUGACAAGCCUGAUGUCUGAUCUUGGAAGCUAAGCAGUGUUGGACUUGAUUAGUACUUGGAUGGGAGGCCACCUAGGAAGACUAGGUGCUGUAGGCA
rnacentral:rRNA from 1 species